CGUGAGCCCCCUCCCCAGCGCUGUUGGAAGCCACACCUCUUUCAGGAAGGGAGGGGUGACGGCUGAGACUGCUUCCUCACGCACAAACCUGAGCUUGGUGGUGACUGACUCCUGGCUGGACUUGACCGUCAUGGCCACAUACAGCUUUUUAUAUGAGAUAACUUAACAGGUGUCCAGGCUCCUGGGAGCAUGGCUGGCUGUGCCCGCACCCACCUUCCCCAGGAGACCCCAGGGGUGGACCCCGGUGCUCUGCCUUGGCGGGCUGCCCUCAGUAACUGCACCCCUCCCCCCAGGUCACCAGCAUUUGUGGAACCAAAGGACAGUGCAGGUCAGUGGGGGGAAAGGUCACCUUGGGUGGCUCCUGCCAUGUGGCCUCAGGCAAACAUCCCUCCCCGUGCCUCAGCUUCCUGGGGGAUGAAUUGGGGCCCUGCCUCCCUCCAGAGUGGUUGUGAGGGGACAGGUGGGGACAGGUGUCAGAGUGCUUUGAAAACUCAUCUCCACAAACAGGGGAGUACUGAGAGGCGCCCGUGUCUGGUCCUGGUUUUCUGAAGCUGUUUUCCUUACAGACUUUAAAGCACAUGAUUCCUCCAAAUACAAACCAGAACAGUAGUGUGAGCUGACUACACUUAAGUCCUCAGUGAGCAAACCUUUAACUGGAGCCCCAUAGUGAGCAGCGUCGUAAUCUGGCCUCGGCGUGCCCACCACCCACUCUGGCUCAGGCCAGCCCUCGGUCCUCCCUGGACCGUCUCACUAGCAAAGGGUCUCAGAGAAGGGAGGGAUCAGACAUGGCUUGUGAGAAGGAGCCAAGCGCCCCCACUGGGGGUGAACUACAGAUUUGGCCGGAAGCUUCCUGGCAGCCACUGGGAAAGGAGAAAACUGUCACACAUUCUCUUAAACAAAAGCAAACUGACUUCUCAGGAAAUGGUUCCCUCUUACAGGAAAACCAUUGCAGUGUCUCCCAGACGUGACAGGAAGGGACCGGCUAGAGGAGACGUCUCGGGACGCUUGUCUCCAUGCUCUGCACAUUCCACCAACACCAAGGAAAGUCCUUCCCAGGGGCGGCAGGCAGUGAGGGUCCCAGGGCACAGAGAACCAGAGAGUUCGUCAGCUGUGCAGCUGGUCCUGUGGACAGACAGGAGGGAGGGAGGGAACUGAGCCCCGAGGGCACACUGAGUCCCCUGCUCAGAGGCCCUGGCAGGGCAGCUAUGACCUUGGAAGACACAUUCCAACACAGGAGGAACAUGAGUCUUUCUGCCCUUUACUGACAUUUAUGAGAAUUCCUGAUUAAAACACUGCCCUUAGGGCCGGGAACCUGGGCAAGCAAGACACAUAAGGUGGCCUUUAGUUUAACUUCAGUAAUCACACCAGGCAUCUUCCCUGUUGGAAUGCUGAUUACUGAUAUUCUAAAACCAAACACAUCACAAACAUCCCCCGGCAAAUAAACGACAGGGCUGUUAUUAACAAUUCUGUUAUUAACAAUUCUCUAUUUAUUAAAAAGGGUCUUAACAGCUUUACAACCACAGCUCAGACACGGCCCUGGAGAUGGUGCGGCCAGGCUGGCAGCCCCGUCCCCACAUCAACGCCGAGCUCACACGUUUGGCUGAGCCCCGUGUGGGCUGUGGGCACUCCGGACAGCGGGGUGGACGGCAGAGGUACGGGGUGGGUGGCACGGCUCUUGAGAUGCAGACGUGGCAGGCCCACCUGAUUGGCAGGGCAGUAAAUUGUCCUUUACUGCUAUUUUCUUUAGAAACAGUUCUGAUACAGUAGAGUUCCAGUCCAGGAGUAGAAAUGUCUGGUAAUUGAGGACAAGGUUGGUGGCCUCGCCCGGGGUCUGCUGGGACAGACCCGUUUGAGCUCUGCCUGUGUUCCAUCACCUGGGCAGUCGAGGCCGGGGCCAGGAAUGCCACAACUCAGCACACAGGCUUUUUUUGUCAACAGGCAGGUGGGCCCUGGGAAUUCACACAAUGGCACAUGUGGACAGAACCCGGAGGGGCAGGAAGAGCCUGGGGCACGGCCAGAGCAUCGGAGCCGGUGGGCACCCUCUAACACCGAGGGGGGGGCUUUCUCCAGACAAGCUGAGACGCUGCUGGUGUCCCUCAGGCCCACCCCCGCCCCACCUGUGCCCCGAGGCCCCGCCAGAGGCGGGCAGGCUUUUCUCCCUCCUUCAACAGCAAACGCAGACAAGCCCCUCCCGGACACUGGGCAGCAGCUGGUGUCAGUGCCCCGCAGCCUGGCCGGCCCCUCCCUGGCACCAGGUGAAGCUAAGGCACAGCACAGGCACCUGCAGUGCGACCCGUGCACUGCUUGCAAGAAAGGAAAUUGCAUUCACUUUAUCUGCAUCUCAAUCUGCUCAGAACAAUAUAUGCAUUUUUUAUAAAGUUUCCCUGAAUGAUCUUAAGUGUCAAAAAAGUUUUCUUUCCCAAUAUAAAACAGGAAAAUUACACACACAGUAAAAAUAUGGGGGAGUUUUUCUUCAUAGAAAGCCUCGGGGGCUGGCUCGAGGUGCAGGAGGAAGAGGAGCUGGGCAGAGUCCAGCUCACACCCGUCUCCUCACCUGGCCACAACUCGCCUGGCUUCUGGGCAUGGCAGUGGGCCAAGUGCAAACUCUGCAGGUAGCUGUGAAGCCUCAGGGUUUAGGGGGAGUGGUGUGGGGGGGUGACAACUCCCCGCACCGAUUUAGUCAGCACCUUCCAGGCUGGCCCACCCGACCGACCCCCACCAGGGGCUGCAGUGGGUGGUGGGCUGGGACACACAGAACCGUUUUGAAAAUAAAGCAGAAAUGAUGAA